AACGAACGCUGGCGGCAUGCCUAACACAUGCAAGUCGAACGAGACCUUCGGGUCUAGUGGCGCACGGGUGCGUAACGCGUAGGAACCUGCCCUUAGGUUCGGAAUAACUCCCCGAAAGGGGUGCUAAUACCGGCUAAUGUCUUCGGACCAAAGAUUUAUCGCCUUUGGAUGAGCCCGCGAUGGAUUAGCUAGUUGUUAGGGUAAAAGCCUACUAAGGCGACGGUCGAUAGCUGGUAUGAGAGGAUGAUCAGCCACACUGGGACUGAGACACGGCCCAGAAUCCUACGAGAGGGAGCAGUAGGGAAUAUUGGACAAUGAGCGAAAGCCUGAUCCAGCAAUGCCGCGUGAGUGAUGAAGGCCUUAGGGUUGUAAAGCUAUUUUACCCGUGAUGAUAAUGACAGAACCGGGAGAAUAAGCUCCGGCUAACUCCGUG
rnacentral:rRNA from 1 species